rnacentral:rRNA from 1 species
UACGUAGGGGGCAAGCGUUGUCCGGAAUCAUUGGGCGUAAAGAGCGUGUAGGCGGCCCGGUAAGUCCGCUGUGAAAGUCCAGGCUCAACCUUUGAACGCCGAUGGAUACUGCCGGGCUAGAGUCCCGGAAGAGGCGAGUGGAAUUCCUGGUGUAGCGGUGGAAUGCGCAGAUAUCAGGAGGAACACCAAUAGCGAAGGCAGCUCGCUGGGACGGUACUGACGCUGGAGGCGCGAAAGCGUGGGGAGCGAACAGGAUUAGAUACCCGGAGUAAGU